UUCACGAAAAACCUAGCUCCUGGUUUUUGGUGGUUUAAACCCCCUCCUGGUUUAAACCCCGAGCUGGGUUUUUCAUUUACGUUUCACAAAAGAGGUUUAAACCCCGAGGGGGUUUAAAUGCGUCAUAAAACGUCAUGAAACGUCAUAUUUUUUAGUCUGCUCUUAGAUGUGGUUUAAACCAUGGUUUAAUUUUACGAGCAUGCGCACUUGAGGAGUUUGUGAAAAAUCCGUGAAGCGAAGAAAAUUUUUCUUGCGGUCCUGGACCUGACAAGCGGUCUUCUUGAUUAGAAAUUCAAUUACAUCGGCAUCAGAGGUACCAUACAGUGUAGGUCUCUAUGGAUUAUCUCCAUCUUCUUCACAGCCUUAAAUUACUAAGAGCUUCCUUUCCCAAGACAUUGUGGGCUACAUGAUGCUAAAAAUCUAUAGAAAUCGUACAAGGAUGGGCCAUCUCGAGAUCAGUAUCGACUGUCAAAAGAAACCGUCACAAUUAUGCUGGAAGCCGAAAUGAAGAGGGACACACAGAGGAUUGAUCAACUUCCUGUUUAUUUGCAGGUGUUGACAACUCUCCAUUUUUAUGCAGUGGGAUCAUUUUAAAAGAUGCAUGGUGAUGAGGCAGCAAUAUCGCAGUCAUCAAUGUGUCAGAAGCUAAAGCAAGAAGGAAGAGGCAAUACAUGAAGAUUCCUACAACAAGAGAAGUUGAAGCAACUCGGAGACAGUUCUAUCUAACUGUUAGAUUUCCAGGAGUGAAAGGUGCAGUUGAUGGGACACAUGUCUACAUCAAGAGCCGGGGGGGGGGGGAUUGGGCCAUAUGCUUCUUAUAUACCCCUUCCAACUUCAUGUGGAGAGGAAUGCUAUAACAAUGGCAAAAGCAUUAAGAACAUAGAAACACAGAGUUCAUUCAAAUUUAUGAAGAAUACUUUACUUCUUUAUUUGUUCAUAAAUUGAUUGGUAUAACCCUGUGAUUCCUGCAGCUUAGCUUCAGCGACCUUUCUUUAUUCAAAACGUCCAUUCGUAGUUUGUGCUCCUUCAAGCUCAUAUCGUGUCUUUCAAUCUCAUUUCAUGCUCUUUCAAUCUCAUAUGUUCUUUCCCUCUCAUCUUGUACUCUUUAUAAAGUCGAGACCAUGUUUCUUCCAUUGAACUUCAAUUCUAACGGCAUGCACUUCUACCAGCUCAAACUCUUCUGACAGAUGAUUCUUUUUUUCCUUGAGAUGGGUAAUUCAAAUUCCAUUUUGCAGAACAUAGGUUUGUGGUAUUGCUGCAGGGUUAAAAUUCAAUAUUGAAAUGCAUUUAAGUACAUAACAUAUAGUAACACUACAGUUGUAAAACACAUACUAUAAAUCAUGUUGUCAAAGAUGUAUGUUGUUUAACGUACUGGUAACUCUCUACUUGAUAGGUAGACACCAAUGUACAUUGUGUUUUCUGAUUGUUAUCGGAACCAUAUAUUGAAUUUUUGAUUUGGGGAUCAUGUUUCAUUUGCUACAGUAUUUAACAUCUAUUUCAACUACAUCUGAUAUAUGAGUCUGGCCAAAAAAUAUUCUGGCAGAAAGGGUCAAUGGAAAAGGGAAAAAAGGCAUGGUAUUUAUAAUGAUACUAAAUUACCUUGAAGAGGAAUGCGAUUUUGAAGAAAUUCCAUCAUUCUGGGAAUGUUUCCUUGAUACCUCAGACAGAAAUUAAUUUGUAGAAUUUGUCCUCGUGGUGAAAGAAAUAGAUGAACUUCUGUUUUGCAGAUUUAUAAAUUUCAACAAUGUGUCACAUUCAUCUCAGUUGGGAGGGUUUUAUUAUUUUGUUUCAAGGAAAGUGUUGAAUACUCUUGAAAAUGUGAUUAUUAUUUGGGAAGUAUUUUUAGAGGUCCACUAUGUGAGAUAGCUUUUAUUCAAAAUAGCUUCAACUUGACAUGAAGUUUUCACAUUUGCAAUCAUUAUUUGUGUAUUAAUUGCAACAAGCAUAAAAAAGAAGAAUGACCUUUCAUUUUGUGAGGAUGCAUUUCCUAAUUUAAGAACUUUAUUUCAAUAGAUUAUUAAACAUGUUUUUUUUUCAUAAAAUAUUUAAAAGAUAAAGGUUCUUACACGGUUGAUUUAUUGAGAUAUGUCUUUCAGUUAAUGAUGGAUUUGAAGUGGAAGGGGGGGGACAGGAUGUUUGAUUAGGUUUUAUUUAAAGUUCUUAUAUGCAAGAGUAUUUUCUAAUCAUGUAUUACAAUAAGGAUUAAGAAUGCAAUUUUAUAGUGCUUGCUUCAAAGGAUUUUCACUAGUAGGAAAAUUGUAUUGUGCACUUUUGUUAUAAGUACCCCCUUAUAUAUAUUAUAGGGGGGGAUGUCAGAUAUAUAGUCAGAAAUAUUCACCUAGAAUGGGAAAACGAUAUCAGAGUAGAUGCACUUGGUUGUUUGGGUGGUGUAACUUGAGGCAGUGCUGGAUUUGAAGUUGCAGUAUGCCAUGGUUGAGGGAAAUAAAGAUGAUUGUUUAAUUCUGGGAAUGCUUGAUAUUUAUAGAGAUUUUCAACAAAAUUGAUGCACUGGCUUUGCUAGGUGUUAUUGGAACUUGAUCUAU